UAGGGAAUCUUCGGCAAUGGGGGGAACCCUGACCGAGCAACGCCGCGUGAGUGAAGAAGGUUUUCGGAUCGUAAAGCUCUGUUGUUAAGGAAGAACGAGUGUGAGAAUGGAAAGUUCAUGCUGUGACGGUACUUAACCAGAAAGGGACGGCUAACUACGUGCCAGCAGCCGCGGUAAUACGUAGGUCCCGAGCGUUGUCCGGAUUUAUUGGGCGUAAAGCGAGCGCAGGCGGUUAGAAAAGUCUGAAGUGAAAGGCAGUGGCUCAACCAUUGUAGGCUUUGGGAACUGUUUAACUUGAGUGCAGAAGGGGAGAGUGGAAUUCCAUGUGUAGCGGUGAAAUGCGUAGAUAUAUGGAGGAACACCGGUGGCGAAAGCGGCUCUCUGGUCUGUAACUGACGCUGAGGCUCGAAAGCGUGGGGAGCGAACAGG
rnacentral:rRNA from 1 species